AUUGAACGCUGGCGGCAUGGCUAAAACAUGCAAGUCGAGGGCGAUUCCACUUCGGUGGAUGAGACCGGCGGAAGGGCUAGUAAUAGUAUCGAACGUGCCCCAAGGUGGGGGAUAGCCGCGGGAAACUGCGGGUAAUACCCCAUGUGCUCUUCGGAGGAAAGCUCCGGCGCCUCGGGAGCGGCGAUACUCCUAUCAGGUAGUUGGCGGGGUAAAGGCCCACCAAGCCUAAGACGGGUAGCGGGUGUGAGAGCAUGGCCCGCAGCAUCGAGACUGAGACACUGCUCGGACUCCUACGGGAGGCAG
rnacentral:rRNA from 1 species